UACGGAGGAUGCAAGCGUUAUCCGGAUUCAUUGGGUUUAAAGGGUGCGUAGGCGGGUAUAUAAGUCAGAGGUGAAAUCCGGCAGCUCAACUGUCGCACUGCCUUUGAUACUGUAUAUCUUGAGUUAAGUUGAAGCAGGCGGAAUGUGACAUGUAGCGGUGAAAUGCAUAGAUAUGUCACAGAACACCGAUAGCGAAGGCAGCCUGCUAAAGUUAUACUGACGCUGAUGCACGAAAGCGUGGGUAGCGAACAGGAUUAGAUACCCUGGUAGUCCACGCCGUAAACGAUGAUCACUCGCUGCGUGCGAUACAAUGUACGUGGCCAAGCGAAAGCGUUAAGUGAUCCACCUGGGGAGUACGAUCGCAAGGUUGAA
rnacentral:rRNA from 1 species